rnacentral:rRNA from 1 species
GACGAACGCUGGCGGCGUGCUUAACACAUGCAAGUCGAACGGUGAAGGGACUGGUUUUGCUGGUCCUGGAGGAGUGGCGAACGGGUGAGUAACACGUGAGUAACCUGCCCCCUUCUUCUGGAUAACCGCAUGAAAGUGUGGCUACUACGGGAUAUUCUGGGUCUGUCGCAUGGUGGGCCUGGGAAAGAUUGCGCCUUUGUUGGCGUUUUUGGUGGGGGAUGGGCUGGCGGCCUAUCAGCUUGUUGGUGGGGUGAUGGUCUACCAAGGCGGUGACGGGUAGCCGGCCUGAGAGGGUGGACGGUCACACUGGGACUGAGACACGGCCCAGACUCCUACGGGAGGCAGCAGUGGGGAAUAUUGCACAAUGGGCGCAAGCCUGAUGCAGCGACGCCGCGUGAGGGAUGGAGGCCUUCGGGUUGUGAACCUCUUUCGCCAGUGAAGCAGGCCUGCCUCUUUUUGUGGGUGGGUUGACGGUAGCUGGAUAAGAAGCGCCGGCUAACUACGUG